AGCUGAGGGAUAGCUCAGUCAGUAGAGCAUAAGACUCUGAACCUCAGGAUCAUGGGUUUGAGCCCCAAGUUGGUCA
rnacentral:tRNA from 1 species